GAGCGAUCAAGUGCCUUAAGAGCAUCUGGUGGAUGCCUUGGCGCUGAGAGGCGAUGAAGGACGUGGUACGCUGCGAUAAGCCUUGGGGAGCUGCGAACGAGCUUUGAUCCGAGGAUCUCCGAAUGGGGAAACCCACCUUCAGCCACCGUAUCGUGGGUUCGGCACUGCCGAGCCUGCGCUACGCUGGUUCGAGAAGGUAUCAAGCCCUGAAUUCAUAGGGGUUUGAAGCGAACCCGGGGAACUGAAACAUCUCAGUACCCGGAGGAAAGGACAUCAACGAGACUCCGUCAGUAGUGGCGAGCGAACGCGGACCAGGCCAGCGCCUGGCAUGACGCUUACCGGAACGGCCUGGAAUGGCCGGCAGAAUGGGUGACAGCCCCGUACGGGACAAGCCAAUGCCAGGACACGAGUAAGGCGGGACACGUGAAAUCCUGUCUGAAGAUGGGGGGACCACCCUCCAAGCCUAAGUACUCCUCAGCGACCGAUAGCGAACCAGUACCGUGAGGGAAAGGUGAAAAGCACCCCGACGAGGGGAGUGAAACAGUUCCUGAAACCGGAUGCUUACAAACAGUGGGAGCCCAAGGUUCGUCCUGGGUGACCGCGUACCUUUUGUAUAAUGGGUCAGCGACUUAAAGUAGCGGGCAAGCUUAAGCCGAUAGGCGAAGGCGCAGCGAAAGCGAGUCUGAACAGGGCGUUCAGUCCGCUGCUUUAGACCCGAAACCAGGUGAUCUAGCCAUGCGCAGGAUGAAGGUGCGGUAACACGCACUGGAGGUCCGAACCAGUGCCCGUUGAAAAGGUCUUGGAUGACGUGUGGUUAGGGGUGAAAGGCCAAUCAAACCUGGACAUAGCUGGUUCUCCGCGAAAGCUAUUUAGGUAGCGCCUCGAGCGAAUGCCGUGCGGGGUAGAGCACUGGAUGGGCUAGGGCCGCCCACAGCGGUACCGCACUCAACCAAACUCCGAAUACGCACGAGCACUACUCGGGAGACACACGGCGGGUGCUAACGUCCGUCGUGAAGAGGGCAACAACCCUGACCGACAGCUAAGGCCCCCAAUUCGUGGCUAAGUGGGAAAGGAUGUGGGACUCCCAAAACAACCAGGAGGUUGGCUUAGAAGCAGCCAUCCUUUAAAGAAAGCGUAACAGCUCACUGGUCUAGCUAAGGGGUCCUGCGCCGAAAAUGUAACGGGGCUCAAGCCACGAGCCGAAGCUUCGGGU
rnacentral:rRNA from 1 species